GCUUCCGUAGCGCAGUGGGUAGCGCGUCAGUCUCAUAAUCUGAAGGUC
rnacentral:tRNA from 1 species